rnacentral:rRNA from 1 species
ACUCAAAUGAAUAGACGGGGGCCCGCACAAGCGGUGGAGCAUGUGGUUCAAUUCGACGCAACGCGAAGAACCUUACCUGGGUUUGAACUGCAGGUGACAGCUCUGGAAACAGGGCUUUUCUUCGGAACGCCUGUAGAGGUGCUGCAUGGCUGUCGUCAGCUCGUGUCGUGAGAUGUUGGGUUAAGUCCCGCAACGAGCGCAACCCUUGCUCCUAGUUGCCAUCGGAUCAUGCCGGGCACUCUAGGAGGACUGCCCCGGAAAACGGGGAGGAAGGUGGGGAUGACGUCAAGUCAUCAUGGCCUUUAUGCCCAGGGCUACACACGUGCUACAAUGGGCGGCACAAAGGGCUGCGAACCCGCGAGGGGGAGCCAAUCCCAAAAAGCCGUUCUCAGUUCGGAUUGCAGUCUGCAACUCGACUGCAUGAAGUUGGAAUCGCUAGUAAUCGCGGAUCAGCACGCCGCGGUGAAUACGUUCCCGGGCCUUGCACACACCGCCCGU